rnacentral:piRNA from 1 species
UCUGUUUUGGAAUAAAAUCUGCAUGA